rnacentral:rRNA from 1 species
AACGAACGCUGGCGGCAUGCCUAACACAUGCAAGUCGAACGAAGGCUUCGGCCUUAGUGGCGCACGGGUGCGUAACGCGUGGGAAUCUGCCCUUUGGUUCGGAAUAACAGCUGGAAACGGCUGCUAAUACCGGAUGAUGACGAAAGUCCAAAGAUUUAUCGCCAGAGGAUGAGCCCGCGUUGGAUUAGGUAGUUGGUGGGGUAAAGGCCUACCAAGCCGACGAUCCAUAGCUGGUCUGAGAGGAUGAUCAGCCACACUGGGACUGAGACACGGCCCAGACUCCUACGGGAGGCAGCAGUGGGGAAUAUUGGACAAUGGGCGCAAGCCUGAUCCAGCAAUGCCGCGUAAGUGAUGAAGGCCCUAGGGUUGUAAAGCUCUUUUACCCGGGAAGAUAAUGACUGUACCGGGAGAAUAAGCCCCGGCUAACUCCGUG